rnacentral:lncRNA from 1 species
GUAAUAUAACGUAACACUCAUGCAUGGAAAACAUCAGCUUUAAUCAUAAUAAAAAGAUAAUUAAAUAACAAAUGUUUUACUUUAGGGUUCGUAAAAUGAAAAUAAUCUUAAAAUUUCAAGGAAAAUUAUUUUAAUAACAAAAUUAAAUUAUAAUAAGUCUAAUCUCACAUAAAUAAAAUCUCAUCGCUUAUUUUCCUAGGUUCACCGAUAUCUAUUCAGGUAUGAGUCUCGCCAAGUCAUCUACCUCGCCAAUGCCAUCCGCAACUUACUUACCUGCGAAGUAAGAUAGGAGUGGGUGAGUUCAUUGUGAACUCGGUGAAUAAGCAAGAAUCAGUAAAGUAUGCUUACAACAUAGAGUUUAAAACGAAAAUAGGACUUAGUCUGAAAAUUGUGUUGCGUGCUAGGUUCGGGGUGAAGGUGAGAGACCCAAUUAGCAAAUCCCUCUUGUAAAAAAACAUAUAAGUUUGAAAACAGUUUCGCGUAUACUUACUGAAAAUCAUACUUAAAAACUUAGCUUGUACUUUUUUGAAAUAAAUCAUAGAAUAGCAUGAAACAUGCUUACAUACUUAUCUUAUCAAAAUGGCUAAGGAACAUAAAACAAGUUCUCACCCACACUUAUCUUAUCAGAAUCUGUUGGAUUUGUGGAUCUCCUUAUAACGCCUCAGAAUUACUCAAUAAGUCAUUAACAUGUCCCAUAAGUGUAGCAUAAAGCUAAACACUCUCCUGUACACCACCAUGUCCCAUUGAAUGGAGCAUAACUCAACAUUCUCUUAUAUCUACACAUGACUCAGGGCCUUAACAUUCAAAAUCACAGAAAACUUGUGGUGAGUAUAAAACUUGAGAAUUUUAUACUAUACUUUUAAAAUCACAGAAAACUUAUCACAUAAAGCUCGCAAAAACAUAACUUUUAAAACUGUACUUUUAAAACAUGCUUGAAAACAUAGUCUCGCAUAGGAGCAUGAGUAACACAUAUCUUUAAAACAUGGCUUAAAACAUAUCUUGAAAACAGAGUAUCAGAACUUAAAAACAGAGUUUUGUAGGAAAACUUACUCUUGAAACUUAGUUUUAAAAACAAAGUUUUUUUAAUAACAAGCGGUUCACACACAAGUUACGAACCCCUGAGCAUUUAUACUGAAACAUGAUAGGUUAGCACACUUAUGACAAUUCUUAACCACUCACUGAAAAAGCUUGAGAAUUUACAGAAGUUUUGCUUUGCCUUUAUCUUUAUUGGUAGAUGGCCCGGCUGGUUCGCAACAUACAUAAACAUACAGAUUACUUAAAUAGACAAAACUUACAGAAUUCACACAUGCAAGUGAACCUAGCUUUCUGGACAAUAAACCCUAACAGGAUAGAGGCUUAAUUGGUUGCUACGAACUUGAUUCAAAAUAUCAAUGAGAGAAUUCUCAUGGAAUAAGGGUCUUGGAAAUCUUAAGAUACCAUACUUGACUUAGGAAAUGUGUUACUUGCACGAAAAAUAUUACUAGAUACACCAUAUCUUUAUUUCCUAAUUUGAGUCUACCUUUGAAUUUGAUUGGUGAACCCCCAGUUCACAACUUGACUGGCAAACCCCCAUUUCCCAACUUAACCAACGAACAUUGGCUUGUCAAACAGACAGGCGAACACGACUUCUGACAAACCUCCUUACCACAUCUUUUGUCAUAUAUUUCUUACUGAUCUUUACUGAAACUCUUUACUAAACUCUUUUGGCGAACUUUUUACUGUUCAUUCUGAAGGGCAUCAAUUUGCCAAAACACUGGUGAACUCCUUGCUGGUAUUCAUUUGGUGAACUCCUAGUUCGCUGAAGCACUGACGAACACCUUGCUUGCCGAAACACUGACGAAUCUUCACUUGCCAAAACUUCCAGAUUCGAUCUCGGGUUGUUGAAAUUAAAAUGUUUAUUUUAAACAUGAUGUUGGGAAGUAAAAUAUAAGUUAGCUUAAAUGGUAUUUAAAUAAUUUAAUAUACUAAUACAACAGUUAAUAUAAAUUAUUUGUAAAGUUUAAUUUAAAAAUAUAAACCAUAUUAUAGAAAAUUAAGAUUUUUUUAUUAAUUUACAUGCUCAUCGCUAACUGCUAAGUUAAAACUUAAAAAAAAAAUGAUUGUUAUGGAUUCAUUUAGUUGUAAAAUAAGUAUUACGUGACAAUCAAUUAAACUUUUAAUUGGUUGGGAUGAAAUAAAUGAAGGUUUUUGAUAAUUUACAUCCAAAAGCCAAAAGCUCUUUUUUCUCAGCUUGUAAGGUUGGGUUUAAAAGCUAAUUUGAAAUGCAUUUUUUAUUCCAAACUCGCAUUGUUCUUCAUUUCUUAUGGAACCAAAAGUGCUUUAGGCUCCAAACACUAGUUUGAAAUACAAUGAGAGCUAGUUCUCUUUUGUUGUUGUGAUUGAAAUGUGUUUUUUAAAAGUAUUUUUUUUAAAUGCUUUUGAAGGGUGUGAUAGAAAAAUGUUACGAAAAAGUGUGUUUAUUAAUUUUUAGUGUUUUUAAUUGCCAUCAAAAAUUGCGGGUGAAAGUUAAA